rnacentral:tRNA from 1 species
UAAGUAUUAGUGUAAGAAGCAUAAAGAACUUUGAAUUCUAAGGAAAUAGUUUAAUUCUAUUAUAAUUAU